rnacentral:lncRNA from 1 species
CAAGGUUUUCCUUUAUUUCCAGGCUUGCAGGGGGCCCCCGCAGGCCCUAAGAGGAGGUCCGUGCUCUGUCUCACUGCCUUGAGUAGAUUUUCUACUUCCUUUUCAAAUCCAGCCACUUCCUGAACCUCUAAACCCCACCUGCUGACAGCAGUCUGCUGGUUCUCUUGGCUAACUCAGCCCUGGUAAUACCUUACUGGUCAUGGAACUGUGGUGUGGAAGGGACAGGAACUGCCCCAGGCACCAGCUUAAGUCAGCUGAGUAGAAAAUAACAGGUUUCAACACAAACAUCUGUACAGACCUCACUCUGGAGAAAUUACUUUGCGUGGAACCCAGGAAAUUAGUUGGAAGAAUUUGUUCACUGUCUCUUUCAAGUUUUAACAGCUUUACUUAAGAACUCAACUAGCAGAUGAUUUCUUUCCAUUGCUUUCUAAAUCAAUCACAAAUGUCUCUUUGAGAAAAGACCAAUGAAAAUUAAGUAGUAGUAAGAAGAGACACACCAGUGAUUGCAAAGUGGAGAGGCUGGCUUCCCUCUGUUAUGGACUGGAUUCUGUACCCCCAAAUUCAUAGGUAAACCCUAACUCUCAAUGUGAUGGUAUUUGGAGAUAGGGCCUUGAAGGAGAUAAUUGAGGUGAAAGGAAAUCAUAAAGGUGGAGCCCUGAGCCAAUAUGACUAGUGUGCUCAUGAGAAGAGGAAGAGACACCAGGGAUGCGCACACCCAGAGAAAAGGCCAUGGGAGGACACAGCAAAAAGGUGGCCAUCUGCAAGCCAAGGAGAGAGGCCUCAGGAGAAAUCAAACCUGCCGACCCCUUGAUCUUGGACUUCCAGCCACCAGAACUGUGAGAAAAUAAAUGUCUGUAGUUUAAAACCACACGAUCUGUGCUAUUUUGUUAUGACAGCCCUAGCAGACUAAUAUAGCCUCCAAGUUAAGAGCCAAACUUCCUGUGAGUGCCCUGUCAUUGACCAAGUGGCUUCUAGAACCACUUCAGCCCAUGACUCCUCCACCAGACAUUGUCAGUGCGAAGAGAGUUUUAGGGCCACAGCCAUGAAGAGCUUGAAUGAAACCAGCAGAGCGUUGCAGGGCAGCCUCUGUUUGACCUUCCACUCGGGAAGGAUUAAUGGCCAGCCCUUUGUGUUAGGAGAGGAUGCUCUGGCCACAUGCAGCCAGACAUGGGGGAGUGUUGUUUCCCAGUUCCAGUGAUAGGUUGGCCUACGCUGGUCUCAUGCUCACACUUGGUUCUCCUAGGUCACAAGUUAGCAGGAAGUAAGCAGGGGGUCAGGGUAGGGCUAUUAUUGUUGGCUGAAGCAUAGACUAGAGCAAUUGAUCUGUACAGUAUUGGACCCACAUCUAACUCUGGGGCCCCAGUUGUCUUGGCUUUUUCCAGCUUUGAUUUCACUGCCUCUCUGAGAGUCAGUUUUUCCUACUAAUGGAAUGUUUUCAAAGUGAGCUCAAGCCCAUGCUCAGUGGGAAAUUCUUCCCUGAAAUCAUUUGUCACAGAAUCAUUUGGCCAUCUAAGACGUUUAUUAUCCUACUUACUGGCAGUAAGUUUCAUAGAAGAGCACAAGAUACUCUGUAGAUUUUUGUUCCCCUUAAAAAGCUGAUAUUCUAGAAUCUGUCCAACAU